rnacentral:rRNA from 1 species
GAUGAACGCUGGCGGCGUGCCUAAUACAUGCAAGUCGAGCGAACAGACGAGGAGCUUGCUCCUCUAACGUUAGCGGCGGACGGGUGAGUAACACGUGGAUAACCUACCUAUAAGACUGGGAUAACUUCGGGAAACCGGAGCUAAUACCGGAUAAUAUAUUGAACCGCAUGGUUCAAUAGUUAAAGACGGUUUUGCUGUCACUUAUAGAUGGAUCCGCGCCGAAUUAGCUAGUUGGUAAGGUAACAGCUUACCAAGGCAACGAUGCGUAGCCGACCUGAGAGGGUGAUCGGCCACACUGGAACUGAGACACGGUCCAGACUCCUACGGGAGGCAGCAGUAGGGAAUCUUCCGCAAUGGGCGAAAGCCUGACGGAGCAACGCCGCGUGAGUGAUGAAGGUCUUCGGAUCGUAAAACUCUGUUAUUAGGGAAGAACAAAUGUGUAAGUAACUAUGCACGUCUUGACGGUACCUAAUCAGAAAGCCACGGCUAACUACGUG